UAGUUGGUGAGGUAAGGGCUUACCAAGGCGACGACGGAUAGCCGGCGUGAGAGCGUGGCCGGCCACAAGGACACUGAGAUACGGGUCCUACUCCUACGGGAGGCAGCAGUGCGGAAUUUUAGAUAAUGGAGGGAACUCUGAUCUAGCGACGCCGCGUGCAGGAAGAAGGUCUUCGGAUUGUAAACUGCUGUGGUAAGGGAAAAAUGCUAUGUAGAGUGGAAAGCUACAUAGAGGGAUGGUACCUUACUAGAAAGCCCCGGCUAACUACGUGCCAGCAGCCGCGGUAAUACGUAGGGGGCGAGCGUUACCCGGAAUCACUGGGCGUAAAGGGAGCGUAGGUGGCCUAACAUGUCAACUGUGAAAACCCGGAGCUCAACUCCGGACUUGCAGUUGAAACUGGUAGGCUUGAGGACGGUAGAGGAAGACGGAACUGCCAGUGUAGGGGUAAAAUCCUUAGAUAUUGGCAGGAACGCCGGUGACGAAGGUGGUUUUCUGGGCCGGUUCUGACACUGAUGCUCGAAAGCCAGGGGAGCGAACGGGAUUAGAUACCCCGGUAGUCCUGGCCCUAAACGAUGUUCACUAGGUGUGGGGAGCGGAAAGCUCUCCGUGCUAAAGCUAACGCGAUA
rnacentral:rRNA from 1 species